rnacentral:rRNA from 1 species
GACGAACGCUGGCGGCGUGCUUAACACAUGCAAGUCGACGAGCGGCGAACGGGUGAGUAACGCGUGAGUAACCUGCCCCCUCUCUGGGAUAACAGUUGGAAACGGGGUCUAAUACCGAAUAAAGGGGGAUGGGCUCGCGGCCUAUCAGCUUGUUGGUGGGGUGAUGGCCUACCAAGGCGGUGAGGGGUAGCCGGCCUGAGAGGGUGACCGGCCACAUUGGCACUGAGAUACGGCCCAGGGUAGUACGGGGGGCGGCAGUGGGGGAUAUGGCACAAUGGGCGAAAGCGUGAUGCAGCGACGCCGCGGGGGGGAUGAGGGCUUUAGGGUUGUAAACGUCUUUCGCUAGCGAACGGGUAGGUGGAGAAGAAGCGCCGGCUAACUACGUGCCAGCAGCCGCGGUAAUAC